AUGGAUAGAUUCCUAAUAUGCAGACUAUUAAGUAUGUGCAGGUCCAUAUGAAACUGAUAUGUAGUGAUUUCUAAGUGUAUGUCGAUCCUACUUUAUUGUCGAAAUUCUCAAUAACUCAUGUAGUAUAAAAACAUAUGACCCUUGAUAGUCAAACCAAUGACUAGAUCUCUAAAGUUGUAUGUUUCACAUUGAUAUUAAUAAUCUGAGAAGGUGAGAAGGAAUUGUAGCACGAGAUGAAAAGAAA
rnacentral:misc_RNA from 1 species